rnacentral:siRNA from 1 species
UAAGGAACACAGUUUUUGCCAC